AUGUGUGUAUAUAUUUCUGUUAAAUAUUUACAUGUAUGUAUUUAGCUGCAGCGCCAUCGGUGGUUCCGUUGAUUUGGCGACAAAAAAUGGCGACUGAUUUUCGCGGCAAUGGUGGCAGCAAUUGCAACUUCAAGUGCGACACUGCAGCCAAUACUCUUCAAUGGAUAAAGGCCAUCGCCGACUUUAUCAGACCCUACUCGUUCUUGAUCAAUGCUCCCGUCGUCAAUUUCUUCAAGGAUAGACUAUGGGAAGAUGUUGAUAAGGAAUGGAUGGAGUGCUUGCGCAAGGAACCUGUUAGGAACCUGCUCCUAAUUCCUUCUGGAGUUGUCCAGGAAUACUGGCCAGAUUCAUUAAAGAAAUUUAUCCUUACUUCAAGAUCUCUUGCCUUCCAACGUGAACAAGCAGAUUUACAGAAGGUUCUGCCUGGUUGGUGCAUGGCUUCGCUUAACACAGUUCUUGCUCAAGGCAUGAAUCAGAAGAAAAAACAUGAGGUUGAAGUCCUUUCGGCCGUUAUUAGUUCGAUUGCAAGUGACCUGAAAACUCAUACUAUUGUUGAUGUUGGUGCUGGUCAGGGUUAUCUAGCACAAGUGCUCUCCUUCCAUUACAAGCAUUCAGUUCUUGCAAUUGAUGCUUGUUCCCAUCAUGGAAAUGUGACAAGUGCACGUGCAGGACGGAUUAAGAAGUAUUACUUAGCUCAGAUUCGUAAGUCUGGAUUAGAAGCCAGCAGUUUGAGACUACCAAAGGCAAUGACAUUCCAUGUGUUGUCAGUUGAUGCAUUAAAAUCCCUUGCCAACAUGUUGUUGCAAGACAAUCAUGUUGAGGAGAGUGUGCCUAGCGAUGAUCAAGAGAAAACCAAUCGGCAAAAGUCAAAGUGUUUGUGCAGUUCAGACAAAGAACCUUCAUUGGUUCUUGCUGGUCUUCAUGCUUGUGGUGAUCUUUCAGUGAUAAUGCUUAGGACUUUUGUAGAGUGCAAGGAAGUAAAAGCAGUUGUUAGUAUUGGUUGCUGUUACAACCUUCUCUCGGAGGAUGGAUCAGACAACAAAGAUGUCCAAAAUGGAUUUCCAAUGAGCUCCAGAGUCAAAUAUUCUGGCUUGUCUCUUGGAAAAAGUGGCAGAGAUCUCGCAUGUCAGAGUGCAGAGAGAUGGAGGAAUUUGGAAAACGAGGGUGGUCUCCAUAAUUUUGAGUUGCAUGCUUUCCGUGCUGCUUUCCAAAUGGUUCUCUAUAGAUAUUAUCCAGAAGUUGUAGCAACUUGCCCAUCUAUCGGGCGUCAAGGAAAGGCUUUGCGUCGUCGAAAGAAAAUAGAGGCUUCAGUAUCCUUGCAGUGUCAUGAAGAUAAGCUUGAGGCGUCACAACAAGAUCUUAUUGGGGAGCUGUCAGCCAACAGAAAUGCGUUGUCUCUUACCAUUUCUGACAAUGGGAGUAUGCAAUGUGAACCAUCCAAAUAUGUGGACAAAUAUCCUCUUUUCGAAAAGUUCUGUCAAUCUGGAUUAAAUCGUCUCGGACUUCAAACUUUGCGGGUUAUGGAUUAUUUUGGAAUAUGGAUGGACACUGAGCCUUUUGCGGAACUUAUUGGGCCUUACUGGUCUCUUCGAGCUGCUCUGGGACCAGUUUUGGAAACAUGUAUUAUCCUUGACAGAUUACUAUUUCUCCAGGAGCAAGGUGGAUCUCUUGAAGCCAUAUUGUUACCUAUUUUUGAUCCGGAUUUAUCUCCAAGGAAUGUGGCUAUAAUUGCUAAGAAAGUUGGUGCAACAUAAGAUUUAUUAGGAGAAAAGGAUGUUAAUGAUUCUGUAUUAAUGCAGAACUCAAGUGCUGAACAUGGAAUAUUUGAAUUCUGCAAAUCUUAUGGAUUCCCUUCGCCCACAUGGCAAACCCGUAAUUCCUCUGAAACUUUUGAGGAAUAUCCAUUUGAAUCCUUCCGGAUCUCAGCUCAUUCUCAUGUUUCCAAAGAGCACAGAAAGAACUGGAGGCCAGGCCACCACAAAAAUGACCAAAUCAGAGUUGCAAUUUCAGAUUCUUCUUGUUCUGUGGCUGGUGGGCGUUUCAGAAACUGCUGCUGCUGCUUUGUUUUUGUUUCUAUGAUGCACCAAAAGAAAACGUUGCUUUCAGUGA